AGUGGCAGACGGGUGAGUAACGCGUGGGAACGUACCUUUCGCUACGGAAUAGCUCCGGGAAACUGGUGGUAAUACCGUAUACGCCCUCAGGGGGAAAGAUUUAUCGGCGAAAGAUCGGCCCGCGUUGGAUUAGCUAGUUGGUGAGGUAAUGGCUCACAAAGGCGACGAUCCAUAGCUGGUCUGAGAGGAUGAUCAGCCACACUGGGACUGAGACACGGCCCAGACUCCUACGGGAGGCAGCAGUGGGGAAUCUUGCACAAUGGGCGAAAGCCUGAUGCAGCCAUGCCGCGUGAAUGAUGAAGGCCUUAGGGUUGUAAAAUUCUUUCGUCAGGGAUGAUAAUGACCGUACCUGAAGAAGAAGCCCCGGCUAACUUCGUGCCAGCAGCCGCGGUAAUACGAAGGGGGCUAGCGUUGUUCGGAAUUACUGGGCGUAAAGCGCACGUAGGCGGACUUUUAAGUCAGGUGUGAAAUCCCGGGGCUCAACCUCGGAACUGCAUUUGAAACUGGAAGUCUUGAGACCAGGAGAGGUUAGCGGAAUACCGAGUGUAGAGGUGAAAUUCGUAGAUAUUCGGUGGAACACCAGUGGCGAAGGCGGCUAACUGGACUGGUACUGACGCUGAGGUGCGAAAGUGUGGGGAGCAAACAGGAUUAGAUACCCUGGUAGUCCACACCGUAAACGAUGAGAGCUAGUUGUUGGCA
rnacentral:rRNA from 1 species